UUGGGUAAACAGGUUACCUGUUUAUUAAACAGGCUAAACGGGUCGGGUCGGGUUACCUGUUUAAUAAAUAGGUCAGGUUUAGGUUUGUAAUUCCUGACCCAUUUAAUAAACAGGUCGGGUUCAGAUUUAUAGUUUUCUGACCCGACCUGUGUCUGACCCGACCUGUUUAUGUCUGACCCGAUCCGAUUGCCACCCCUAGAUGAGGCAUCACAUGCCUCCUCAAUUUAUUCUUCUUCAUUUACCUAAUUCAUUAUUCUACUCCUUUUAUAGAUCUUUGCAAUGAUGAUAUCAGAUUUCUUGACUUUUGCAUAAAUUGGUACUAUUAGGCAGGACCUCAUAUAUAAGGAUGAAAUAAGUUAAAGCACUCCGAAGGCUUUAUCAUGAAUAGAAGAUAAGGGUAAGGCCAAGUGCUUCGCUAAUGGGAAUUUUACAGAAUGUGGUACAACAAGACUCUGCUGAGGCUACUAGCAGAAAAUAUUGUGAGCUCUCGUAGUUAUUUAACUUUGUUUGGUAGUUGUUCCCUUGUAUGACUUUCCUUUCAUGACUUCCUUGUGUGAGCUAUAAUUGUCCAAGUUCAUUGUUUCCAUGUGUCUUUGCGAUUAUUAUCAUUUAAUCAUCGACUUAAUUUUGGUUGACUCAUCGUUUGAUCAAGUAUCUUGGUUGAUAUUUGGUUGAUGUGUGGUGCAAACAGUUCAACUUACUCAUGGCAUAAUCCUCUUGCUUGUAUGAAUUUCUGAACAAAAAUAAGAUGGCGAGAACAAACUGGAAGACCAACAUUAGCAAGCUUGCUAACAAACAGUAAUUGUUCCGCACCCAAAAAGAAUGUACAAUUUUCCAGAUUAGCAUGAAUCAUGCAGUAUUGCAAGUGGCUGAUAGAAUGGGGGGGUAUUAUUGGUUCCUCCUGAUAGAUAGUCAGGGUAGCACAAAUGGCAUGAGUUAUCAAACUUGUCUGGACAGAAAGAAGUUCUGGUAAGUCUUUCAGAUCAGAUAUGGUAUUUUUUGUCGUAUGUCGUAAUUUCUCUUUGGGGCUUACUUCUGUUAACGUCUUGCCUGUUUUUGCUAUUACAUAUGUAACGAGUUAUGUGGAAAGACACGAUAUAUGCAGCAUGGUGUAGUUCUUGUACCUUACACGUUAUUCUACGACAGAAGAUCUUUGUUAUAUUUUAGCUUUGUUGGAGGUAUUAGUCAAUUUUUUUUUACUUCAACUUGCUUCUACAUUUCCAGCCUAAGAAGGUUUCGCACAAUGGCUUUACACCAUUGAUGAUGUCUGUUCUUGCUGACUCACCGCAAUGCAUGGAGGAACUGAUCAAGGCAAACGAGCUUGUUGGCCAUAUGUGCUUUAAUAUCUCAUAGUGAGCUCAUUUCUGGUUUUUGACUGAGGCUUCAUGGGGUUUGACUGAUGAUAUAUCCAGCAAAUCUUCUUUAGACAAAUCUGAUUGGCCUAGAAAGAAAAUGUCCACCAUGUAGCAGAAUGGAAGUUCUUUGCUGAUCCAUUGAGCUUUGAUAUUACUUAUCUAAACAGCAUGAAGAUGAUUAUAUGAAAGUAAGCCUGGAUCUUUCAUCAUCUAAAUGACCAUAAUGUUCACUUAGGAGUGACCACAAAGAAAUUCAGCAAAUAAAGGAAUUCAUAAGAUCUGCUGUUCUUAAGAUCUUCAUUGAAAAAAAAUGGAGAAUUUCACACCUUUGGCCUGGCAGCAGCCUGCUUUCUAAUCAGGUGGCUCAGGGAAGGCCUAUUAAAGAAUCGUCUUGGCUCAUGAAAUUUCUUGAACAAAUUACAAACUGUGGUAGGACCACAAAAAACAAAAUUUAUCAGGGAGAGCAAAGAGAGCUCUCAUUUCUGAGAUGCGAAGAAUUCUUCAAAACAAUUUAUUAUGUAUUCUGUUCAUGUAGGCAGGCGCUGAUGUGAAUGGUAAUAUUUCCGUUGGAGUAACUCUCGUAGGAUUGUCAGCUCGUGGUGGCUUGACUGAGAUUAUCGAACGCUUACUGAAAGCUGGGGCUGAUGCAAAUAUACCUAAUAUAAAUGUCCAUUCUAUGAACUUUACAAUGCACGUGGGAACUUUCUCGUUUUAUAUUGUCAUCUCACGAACUUAGCAGCAAAAAGGGUUUCUACAACAAAUGGAUGUCAUGUACAGCAUACCAUGAGGUGGUGUAAAAGGUAAUGGUAAUUAUUGACUCUAUGAAUGACUGGUGUGUGGUGUCAAUUGAUGCAACGAAGUCGGCAUCAUUAUUGUCAAAAACUCAAGUGCGAAGACCAAUACUAGUGAUUCCUUCUCCCCUGCCCUUUUCCCUUUUACUCCUGCAACUCCCUUGUGCUUUAAUACCAGCAGAAUACUAACAUGUUGGGAAACAUUGUUGUGCUGUACAGGGUGUAGGAUGAUGUUGCAUGCCUUAUGAAACUCAUCUUUCUCUUUUCUUGUUCUUUUGCUCUGUAAAUUUCAGGAUGGGCUGAUGAAGCCAUUUGAAAUUGCUGCAGUAUUUGGUAAACGACAAGUUGUUGAAAUCCCUUUUCCUUCAACAUCCCCCAUUUCAAGUGUGCCAGACUGGAGCAUUGAUGGUAUUAUUACUGAUCUAAAAUUGAAAGUUCCCAAACAACUGGUGUGCAAUCCGGAAUCCGAGAAAAAAACUCUACGUUGUUGCCCCACUGCCCCCUACGUACAAUCCUGGAAAAAAAGACAGAGAGAGAAAGAAGAAAAGAAAACCACUAUCUGUGGAGGCCAUUUUGUUAGUACCAACUAGAUCUAGCACUAUGCACAUCAUAAUGCAUAAAGAUGAGCUUUACUUAUGUGAGUUCAGUCAUGUUUGCCAGGUUUGUUAAUCGCAUAAUUCAAUCAUGCCAUAAUAUUUACAUUGUCUAUUACAAAUUUAAAACUUUCAGAAAAAAUAUGUAAUAUACUUCAUAUGAACUCCAAACUUCAUUAUUGGAGUGAAAAUAUACUUAUGCUAUACUUGCUGCAUAGAUUUAUGCCUUGGUGGUAGAUAAUAUUAAGACGUUUCUCCCUUUGAUUUUUUUUAUUCUUGUAUCUUUUUAGAAUACUGUGACUUUUUAUGCUUACUUAUUUCAAGACAAAUACAUGUGGACCUCGAAGACUCUUGUGGAAUGACUCCUCUGCAUGUGGCUGCUGGUUGCGGACAACAAUCUACUACAAAGAUUUUGUUGAAUCACAAAGCAGAUUUAAUGUUCUAUGUUUCAUUAUCAUCACCAUGUCUUUGAUGUUCGUUUCCAUGGUCGAAAUUCUUUUGCUUAUUAUGUGGACUAUAUCACUAUCUCCAGUAUGAAUCAUCUAAAUUUAUAUGCUUAUAAGCAGCAUAUUUCGCGUAUGACUCAGGGAGACAUCAGUGUCUGUAUAUGAUUGCAUCAUUUUUAUUUUAAGUGAGGAUCUCAAGACUUCAAUCAAUGCUCAUGAUAGAACAAGUGUACAGUUGGAUUGAUCUAUAUGGCAUAUUGAUCAUGAAUAUAUGUUUGUAUGUCCACAUAGAUGUAUAUAUGACUGUAUUCAUAGAUGCAAAAUGGAGAACUCAAGCAAACUAGAUGAAAUAACUUGGCAAAAUUUUCUUACUCUACGCCAGUUUACCACAAAUUGUUUGUCACCAUAUCUUACUUCUCCAUCAUCAUCUCUUUCUCGAAAAUGCAAUUUAAUGUUUUAAACCUUCAUCCUCCUACAUUUUGGGAAAUAGUCUUCUUCACAACUGAGGUAGCUUUCAAUUUUCACACAUGUACUCCUAGUCCCAAAGCAGGGUUAAAGCUAUAGUCUGAGAAAGUCAAUUAAGUGCAUUGGAAUUGAGGUGGAUGAAGGCAAAUGAAUUGUAGUUUAGAGAUUAUGCUCAUUUGGCAACAGAAGGAUGUUCACUUUCCAAAAGAGCAUUUUUGGGGUCAGUGUCCUCCUAUAAUUGAUGGCAGUGUUGUCAUCUUGAGAUUGAAUUUGAAAAUCAAGUCCCUAUCCAAGUGCUGACAAGUUAUAAUAUUUGGACCUUAAAGAUGAAACAUGAAGGUCUGUGGCAAAUUUAUAGUUUGUAGUUCAUUUGGCAGAAAAGUGUGGCCCGUCACAGCAGGUCAACAUGGAUGAACGCGUACAACAUCUGAGGCUCGAGGCAAGUUUCAUACUUUUUUGUCUGUUAAGGCUCAAGAGAAUAGGAAGGUUGACAUAAAAGAUGAUUGAACUACUAAUAAAAACAUGUAUUUGUUAUGCACAUGUGAUUCAAAUCGUUGAAAAGCUUACCAUAUAAGCUUUUCAGUGUGUCAUGAUCAAAUUUGAGCUUGUGUCGAGGUAAUAGGUGCAAGUAAUUAAAGUUUGAACAUAUUUGGAACAAGUUCAGGGUCUGAUACUGAAAACAACUAUGUUGGCUUUAACUUUAACAUGGAUUUCUUAAUUUGACCCAAUGGAAUUAACUUAAAUUCAUGUUUUGAUUGGAUAUAUCUCCUAUCCCUUUAUGGAAUCCAGUACAAGUUUAGUGGGACAGGUUUAUUAAUUCAAUUGGUGACAGGUGAUUUUAAUAAUUCAACUCAAGGUUUUUUAUUUCUUUUCCUUUUUUCCCCUCUUUUCUUUCUUCUUUUCAGCUCAAUAUAAUGAGAAUGACAAAUUCAUGAAGGUACAACUGAUAUUCUUGUAUUUUUUUCAAUUAAAUGAAAUAUCAGACUUUUCACUCAAAUUACUAGAUGAGGCAUCACAUGCCUCCUCAAUUUAUUCUUCUUCAUUUACCUAAUUCAUUAUUAUACUCUUUUUAUAGAUCUUUGCAAUGAUGAUAUCAGAUUUCUUGACUUUUGCAUAAAUUGGUAAUAUUAGGUAGGACCUCAUAUAUAAGGAUGAAAUAAGUUAAAGUGUUCUGAAGGCUUUUUCAUGAAUGGAAGAUAAGGGUAAGGCCAAGUGCUUCACUAAUGGGAAUUCCACAGAAUGUGGUACAACAAGACUCUGCUGAGGCUACUAGCAGAAAAUAUUGUGAGCUCUCGUAGUUAUUUAACUUUGUUUGGUAGUUGUUCCCUUGUAUGACUUUCCAUUCAUGACUUCCUUGUGUGAGCUGUAAUUGUCCAAGUUCAUUGUUUCCAUGUGCCUUUGCGAUUAUUGUCAUUUAAUCAUCGACUUAAUUUUGGUUGACUCAUCGUUUGAUCAAGUAUCUUGGUUGAUAUUUGGUUGAUGUGUGGUGCAAUCAGUUCAACUUAAUCAUGGCAUAAUCCUCUCGCCUGUAUGAAUUUCUGAGCAAAAAUAAGAUGGCGAGAACAAACUGGAAGACCAACAUUAGCAAGCUUGCUAACAAACAGUAAUUUUUCCGCACCCAAAACGAAAGUACAAUUUCUCAGAUUAGCAUGAAUCUUGCAGUAUUGCAAGUGGCUGAUAGAAUGGGGGGGUAUUAUUGGUUCCUCCUGAUAGAUAGUCAGGGUAGCACAAAUGGCAUGAGUUAUCAAACUUGUCUAGACAGAAAGAAGUUCUGGUAAGUCUUUCAGAUCAGAUAUGGUAUUUUUUGUCCUAUGUCGUAAUUUCUCUUUGGGGCUUACUUCUGUUACCAUCUUGCCUGUUUUUGCUAUUACAUAUGUAACGAGUUAUGUGGAAAGAUACGAUAUAUGCAGCAUGGUGUAGUUCUUGUACCUUACACAUUAUUCUACAACAGAAGAUCUUUGUUAUAUUUUAGUUUUGUUGGAGGUAUUUGUCUAUUUUAUUUACUUCAACUUGCUUCUACAUUUCCAGCCCAGGAAGGUUUCGCACAAUGGCUUUACACCAUUGAUGAUGUCUGUUCUUGCUGACUCACUGCAAUGCAUGGAGGAACUGAUCGAGACGCUGGAUUACCGGAUUCAUGGGUUUUGACUGAUGAUAUCCAGCAAAUCUUCUUUAGACAAAUCUGAUUGGCCUAGAAAGAAAAUGUCCACCAUGUAGCAGAAUGGAAGUUCUUUGCUGAUCCAUUGAGCUUUGAUAUUACUUAUUUAAACAGCUUGAAGAUGAUUAUAUGAAAGUAAGCCUGGAUCUUUCAUCAUCUAAAUGGCCAUAAUGUUCACUUAGGAGUGACCACAAAGGAAUUCAGCAAAUGAAGGAAUUCAUAAGAUCUGCUAUUCUUAAGAUCUUCAUUGAAAAAUGACCAUACUAGUGAUUCCUUCUCCCCUGCCCUUUUCCCUUUUACUCCUGCAACUCCCUUGUGCUUGAAUACCAGCAGAAUACUAAAAUGUUGGGAAACAUUGUUGUGCUGUACAGAGUGUAAGAUUAUGUUGCAUGCCUUAUGAAACUUAUCGUUCUCUUUUCUUGUUCUUUUGCUGUGUAAA